UACGUAGGGAGCAAGCGUUGUUCGGAUUUACUGGGCGUAAAGGGCGCGUAGGCGGCGCGGUAAGUCACUUGUGAAAUCUCUGAGCUUAACUCAGAACGGCCAAGUGAUACUGCAGUGCUAGAGUGCAGAAGGGGCAAUCGGAAUUCUUGGUGUAGCGGUGAAAUGCGUAGAGAUGUGGAGGAACACCAGUGGCGAAGGCGACUCUUUGGCCUGUAACUGACGCUGAGGCGCGAAAGCGUGGGGAGCAAACAGG
rnacentral:rRNA from 1 species